AGUUCCGCCGGAAGACCGAAUCGGAAAGGUUCGGGGUUGGCGAAUAGGUGUUGCCGCUGUGAAGCAACAAUAUUUUUAGGGACACUUCUCCACGGUGAACCUGCUGCUGCUGCACACAUCCCGGACCGCCGUGGUGCGCCGAAAGUAUGUGUGGAAGCGCUGGUAAGGAGUGACUGCGUUCUCGGUGUAGGCUGGACCGCUGGAUAGAUCCACCGGAUGACGGAUCUAGUACGACUCAGGAAUGGUAACAAGGAGUUCAGCAACUACGUGGGCUUAUUUCACUGAGGAUUGUGCUUCUCGAUUACGCGAAUGUCCAUCCCAAGUACGAAGCAGUGAAUCCUGCACCGGCUACCGACAUUCCGGACAACGCCAAACAGUAACUGUUUGCUUGGCUGAUUGAAGCGGAAUCACAAAAGAAAACGACGCUAAAAAAAGUGCUAAAUAAAGUGAAAAAAAAUACAAAUAAUAACGAUAAAAAUACUCAUUAAUUUAUUGUAUUAACCAUUAACUUCAAUGUCCAUUUAUAUAUUUACCAUACAGUUUUGUGGAGAAAAAACAAUAAAUAAACGAUAAAACUUA
rnacentral:lncRNA from 1 species